AUUGAACGCUGGCGGUAUGCUUUACAUAUGCAAGUCGGACGGCAGCACAGUUAAUCUUUCUUCUUAGGUGGGGAGUGUCGCGCAGGUGGGUAAUAUACCGAAACUUACCGAUUAAUGUGGGAUAUCUAGUCGGAAGAUUGGCGAGUACCGCAUAUUCGCUGUGUAGGUAAACGGAGGACAUUCUGGCCUUGCGUUAUUCGAUGUGCCUGUAUCUGAUUAUCUAGAGGUUGGGGUAAAAGCCUACCAAUGCGACGCUCCGUAGCGGGUCUGAGAGGAUGAUCAGCCACACUGGAACUGAGACACGGACCAGACUCCUACUGGAGGCAGCAGUGGGGAAUAUUGGACAAUGGGCGCAAGCCUGAUCCAGCCAUACAGCGUGGCUGCAGAAGGCCUUCGGGUUGUAAAGGCCUUUUGUCAGGGAAGAAAAGGUUGAUGCUAAUAUCGCCAGAUGAUGACGGUACCUGAAGAAUAAGCACCGGCUAACUACGUG
rnacentral:rRNA from 1 species